rnacentral:lncRNA from 1 species
UCAGGUAUCUGUGUAUGAGACGUAUUGGAAAAACGUUAGAGCCUGAGGUAGUACAUGACUCCAAGGAAACAGUGUUUGUUCAAUACAACAGGGCAGCUGCACAUAUGAACACAUGCACAUUUGACAGUACACCCAAGACCCACACAAUCUCAGGUCAAAUAAAAUCCCAACAUGAAAUGUGGAAGCCAACAGAGAGUUCACUCCCAAAUGAGGAUGUGCUGGCAAUCAGUAGUUGCCCAAAGAAGGGGAGUAAGCUUUUGGAAAGGGUGCUGUCCCUAGUUAAGUCACCUAGCAACAGUGGAUGACCACACAUCUAAUAAGAAUACAUGGGAAGCACCAUACUUAAGAAA